ACACCACUCAAGCCUCGCUUGGUAUUGGGCGCCGCGGCCUCCGCGCGCCUUAAUGUCUCCGGCCGAGCCUACCGUCUCUAAGCGUUGUGGCAUCACGUUUUCGCUUGUGGGAUCGGGCGGGCGGCGCGCCGUUAAACACCUUCACCAAAA
rnacentral:misc_RNA from 1 species